GCACAGGUGAGGAGUCCCACAAUAGAACGAAACGGCCGUCCAGUAU
rfam:Schistosoma curassoni strain Dakar, Senegal genome assembly, scaffold: SCTD_scaffold0016575